GUACUUGCUUCGGCAGUACAUAUACUAAAAUUGGAACGAUACAGAGAAGAUUAUCAUGGCCCCUGCGCAAGGAUGACACGACGCCGGCACGGUAAGCUCAGCGUGUUC